rnacentral:rRNA from 1 species
UACGGGGGGGGUAAGCGUUGUUCGGAAUUACUGGGCGUAAAGGGCUCGUAGGCGGCCAACUAAGUCAUACGUGAAAUCCCUCAGCUUAACUGGGGAACUGCGUGUGAUACUGGAUGGCUUGGAUUUGGGAGAGGGAUGCGGAAUUCCAGGUGUAGCGGUGAAAUGCGUGGAUAUCUGGAGGAACACCGGUGGCGAAGGCGGCAUCCUGGACCAAUAUUGACGCUGAGGAGCGAAAGCUAGGGGAGCAAACGGG